AUUUCUGUUUCACGAGAAGAGCCAGAAAACGGACCUCUCAGCAGUUCCCUUCUCAAUGAAUCUCCUGCUGACCCUCAGUUGGUGAUAUGAGCAGCCUGUUGAAUACGGUGCUGGAUUAUACCCAGAGACAUCUCUUUGCUUCACCAGGACAGACUUCCUCGGUCCUGCCUCCCUGCAAGGUGCAAUGACCCCUUCCCCCCAGGAGAGGGAGCACUUCCAGGCCCCGGCAUCUCAGAGUGGGACAAUCUUGACUGUCGUGCUGCCUGCCCCCUUGGGUCGGAAGUGGCGGGGGACGAAGCCCAGAGGGGAGCUGAGGCCAGUGGGGGCUGGGGUGCCCAGGCCUCUCUUUCUCCCGCUGUCCCCUGAA